UUUAUUAGCUGAGUCUGCUGCUUGUUGUUUGGCAGCUUCUGCAAUUGAUGUUGAUCAUUUUGUAGCAGCAAGAUCCGUGUAUCUUGAGACCUUUUUUUCUGCCCCUGCUGUUUUGAAUGACUGAUUAUACGAAGUCAAGAAUUGAAUCAGUAAAGAAAAUGUUGGAAAGCCGAUGGAAUAACCGUUUGCCUAUAAGUGGCCUUCGAAAAUAUCAUUUUGCACAACCCUCUUCUGAUAAAAAACACGUCACACUUUUGGAAAAUUCUGUUUUUUCCAUGCAGCAUAGUAGUGGAAGGACCUACAAACUUAUUCAGAGUGCAAAUGUUUUCAAGCAGCAGCAGAACCAAGUAGUUCAAAGCAAGUUAACAAAUGAUUCAACCUUGUCUAAUGGUUCAUUUUUACUUUCCAAAGUGUUUAGUGAUACAGCUGUUGUACACAGAUCCUGUUGAUGUUUAUGAAGAAUAAAUGAAAGGUUUUUUUUCUGGUACUUUCUUAAAAAAAACAAAAAAGAAAUAUCUCAGCAACAUAACUCAUGCCUUCUUAAGCAAGUAGUUAUGCCUAAGUAUAUAUUUUUUCAAUUAUUUUGACAUUUAUAAACCAUUUUCCAGUGUUACCUUUUUAAAUGUGAAGGGUACUUUCUCAGAACAGUGUUUUAAAUUAUGUAUGUACAAAGUCUAUAUUUUACUAACAAUAAUUUCACUUUCCUAUGCUACAUAAUUUUAAUUUCAAUGAUAAAUUAAUAUGUAACAUGUAUGAUAGCA